UACGUAGGGUGCAAGCGUUAAUCGGAAUUACUGGGCGUAAAGCGUGCGCAGGCGGUUAUGUAAGACAGAUGUGAAAUCCCCGGGCUCAACCUGGGAACUGCAUUUGUGACUGCAUAGCUAGAGUACGGUAGGAGGGGAUGGAAUUCCGCGUGUAGCAGUGAAAUGCGUAGAUAUGCGGAGGAACACCGAUGGCGAAGGCAAUCCCCUGGACCUGUACUGAC
rnacentral:rRNA from 1 species